rnacentral:rRNA from 1 species
UACAGAACGCCCGGGCUUCGGCCUGGUUAUUCAUAACCCUUUGUUGUCCGACUCUGUUGCCUCCGGGGCGACCCUGCCUUCGGGCGGGGGCUCCGGGUGGACACUUCAAACUCUUGCGUAACUUUGCAGUCUGAGUAAACUUAAUUAAUAAAUUAAAACUUUUAACAACGGAUCUCUUGGUUUCUGGCAUCGAUGAAGAACGCAGCGAAAUGCGAUAAGUAAUGUGAAUUGCAGAAUUCAGUGAAUCAUCGAAUCUUUGAACGCACAUUGCGCCCCCUGGUAUUCCGGGGGGCAUGCCUGUUCGAGCGUCAUUUCACCACUCAAGCCUCGCUUGGUAUUGGGCAACGCGGUCCGCCGCGUGCCUCAAAUCGUCCGGCUGGGUCUUCUGUCCCCUAAGCGUUGUGGAAACUAUUCGCUAAAGGGUGUUCGGGAGGCUACGCCGUAAAACAACCCCAUUUCUAAGGUUGACCUCGGAUCAGGUAGGGAUACCCGCUGAACUUAAGCA